GGAAAUCUCGUUGAGUUUGGGAGGCCUUACUUCUGCAUAUUUGAAUCUGGUGACCAAAUUAAACAUUGUUCUAACUGUAGUGGUCUGAUCAUUCUACCAAGGCCAUGACUGUGAAGAGCACUGUGGGUGAUGGCUGGUGGCUCACCGGAGCCGGCUUGUGCACGGCGCCCGAAGCCAAAGAAAUCUGAAGACCCGACCUUACUAUUGGCAAAGACAGACAAACACUCUACAAAUAGUGCUUGAAAAAUGCCACUGUUUGGUUCAGAUGGUGAAGAGGAACUCAGGAAGGCCUGGCAGUCUCUAGGAGGCUAGGGCAGUGGUUCUCAAAUGAUAGGGUGUACAGAAAUUCCCUGGAGGACUUGUGACAACAAAGAUUGCUAGGCCUACUCCCAGGGUUUCUAAUUCAGCAGGUCUGGGGAUGGAGCUCAAGUAUCUGCAUUUCUAACAAGUCCCCGGUGGUGCUGAUGCUGCUUGCAUGGACCAGUUUUGAGAACCAUACUUGGAGAAACACUUGGUUAGGAAAACUAUGUCUGUUACAGAUUGAUCAAAGGGCUCUUAAGUUCCUUUUGUACAAUAAAUCACUGCGAUAUCAAAUGAGGUAAAUGAACAUGCUCUUUGAACUCUUAACUUCUAGACCAAUAUAAAACAUUCUAAAUAUGAAAUGGAAACAUUUACAAUUGUUAUUGAUUCUCAUCAAUGCAAUGUUCAAUAAAGAUAAGAAUCACAAAAAAAAAAAAAAA
rnacentral:lncRNA from 1 species